UACGAAGGGGGCUAGCGUUGCUCGGAAUCACUGGGCGUAAAGGGUGCGUAGGCGGGUCUUAAGUCAGGGGUGAAAUCCUGGAGCUCAACUCCAGAACUGCCUUUGAUACUGAGGAUCUUGAGUUCGGGAGAGGUGAGUGGAACUGCGAGUGUAGAGGUGAAAUUCGUAGAUAUUCGCAAGAACACCAGUGGCGAAGGCGGCUCACUGGCCCGAUACUGACGCUGAGGCACGAAAGC
rnacentral:rRNA from 1 species